rnacentral:misc_RNA from 1 species
AAGGGAAACCCGGGGCCACGGUCCCGUCCUCCCACCCAUGAAUACGCGAGGCCGAUCAUAAAGUUACUUCGGCGGAUAUUUUCGCCGCCGAGCAACCAUUCAAAACCCUAUUUCAACGUGUCGUCUGAGAAAAGAAACAAACGAAUCA